rnacentral:rRNA from 1 species
AAGAAAGUUACUAAGGGUGUAUGGCGGAUGCCUUGGCUCUGAGAGGCGAUGAAGGACGUGACAAGCUGCGAUAAGCUACGAUUAGGUGCAAAUAACCUGUUAGUCGUAGAUUUCCGAAUGGGGCAACCCAGCAUACUGAAGGUAUGUUACCCGAAAGGGGGCAAACCCGGCGAACUGAAACAUCUAAGUAGCCGGAGGAAGAGAAAAUAAUAAUGAUUCUCCUAGUAGUGGCGAGCGAACGGGGAAUAGCCCAAACCAAUAUUGUUUCGGCAAUAUUGGGGUUGUAGGACUGCAAUGUGGACUUAAGAUUUAUAGUAGAACCAUCUGGAAAGUUGGACCAUAGAGAGUGAUAGUCUCGUAAACGAAAUAAAUUUUAUACCUAGCAGGAUCCUGAGUAGCACGAAACAGGUGAAAUUUUGUGUGAAUCUGCCGGAACCAUCCGGUAAGGCUAAAUACUCCUCAGAGACCGAUAGUGAACUAGUACCGUGAGGGAAAGGUGAAAAGUACUCCGAACAGGAGAGUGAAAUAGUACCUGAAACCAUACACUUACAAGCUGUAGGAGCCCUUCGGGGUGACUGCGUGCCUUUUGCAUAAUGAGCCUACGAGUUACUCCUCACUAGCAAGGUUAAGGAUUUAAGAUCCGGAGCCGAAGCGAAAGCAAGUCUGAAUAGGGCGUAUAGUUAGUGGGGGUAGACGCGAAACCGUGUGAUCUACCCUUGGCCAGGUUGAAGCUUUGGUAACACAGAGUGGAGGACCGAACCAGUUGACGUUGAAAAGUCUUUGGAUGAGCUGAGGGUAGGGGUGAAAGGCCAAUCAAACUCGGAAAUAGCUCGUACUCCCCGAAAUGUAUUUAGGUACAGCCUUGAGUUAAAGUGAUAUAGAGGUAGAGCUACUGAUUGGGCUAGGGGGCUUCACCGCCUACCAAUUCCUGACAAACUCCGAAUGCUAUAUCAUGUUCCUCAGGAGUGAGGGCGCGGGUGCUAAGGUCCGUGUCCGAGAGGGAAACAACCCAGACCAUCAGCUAAGGUCCCUAAAUGUAUGUUAAGUUGUUCAAACGUGGUCCGACUGCUUAGACAGCUAGGAUGUUGGCUUGGAAGCAGCCAUUCAUUUAAAGAGUGCGUAACAGCUCACUAGUCGAGCGGUUGGGCGUGGAUAAUAAUCGGGCAUAAAACAUACUACCGAAGCUAUAAGAUCGAAAGAUCGGUAGGGGAGCAUUCUAGU